GGCAUAUCGCAGCUUGGAUGCGUAUAACUAUUUUCAUUCCGGAAAAGUUCAACGCAUUCUAACCUACACGAAUGGAAAUACCUGUGUUGUUUACGGGGAAAUCGAGGCGGGUCAGACGCUUUCAAAGAGCUACUCCGCCUGGAUCGUUGCGAGGAAGUCCGGCGAAGUCCAGAGUGGGCAUUGUACCUGCAUGGCAGGCAAUGGAGAGGUGU